CCUACGGGUGGCUGCAGUCGAGGAUCUUCGUCAAUGGGCGAAAGCCUGAACGAGCGACGCCGCGUGCGCGAUGAAGGCCUUCGGGUUGUAAAGCGCGAAAGUGGGGACGAAGCCGAAAGGUUGACCGAUCCACAGUAAGCUCGGGCUAAGUUCGUGCCAGCAGCCGCGGUAAGACGAACCGAGCGAACGUUGUUCGGAAUCACUGGGCUUAAAGGGCGCGUAGGCGGGUGGAUAAGUCUGUGGUGAAAUCCGGCAGCUCAACUGUCGAAUUGCCCUGGGUACUGUCCAUCUCGAGGGAGGUAGGGGUGCGCGGAACUAAUGGUGGAGCGGUGAAAUGCGUUGAUAUCAUUAGGAACUCCGGUGGCGAAGGCGGCGCACUGGACCUCUUCUGACGCUGAGGCGCGAAAGCCAGGGGAGCAAACGGGAUUAGAUACCCCUGUAGUC
rnacentral:rRNA from 1 species